UACAUAAAGUCCAGUACCUUCCAGAGUAAACCAUCUCACUCUGAUUCACUUAAGCGAUUUAAAUACACUUAUGAGAAGCUGAAGCCCCCCUUUCUGGAGGAGGUGGAAAUCAGCGGAUGGAUACAGCAAAGUGAAAAGUGAAGAAAACACUGAAUUUCCUCAGAAGGCACUGGGGAACCAGUGAAGAUUUUUGAGGACAGAAAUGACCUGCCUGGAACUGUAUUUUAAGAAAGUAACAGGGGAGCUUCCUUUGUGGCUCAGAGGUAACAAACCUGACUAGUACGAGGAUGAGGAUUUAAUCCCUGGCCCCACUCAGUGGGUUAAGGAUCCAGCGUUGCCAUUGCCGUGAGCUGUGGUGUAGGUCACAGACACAGCUUAGAUCCGAAUUCCUGCGGCUGAGAAGUAAGCCAGCAGCUGCAACUCUGAUUGGAUUCCUCUCCUGGGAACUUCCACACGCCGCAUAUGCGGCCCUAAGAAGAAAAAAAAAGUGGGGGUGGGUAACAGAGGCAGCAGUGUGGUGAUUAAACUGGCAGCUAAGCCUGGAAAGGGAACCUAGCCAAGAGUGAAUGAGGCCCUGAAAAGUCCGAAAAAAAUUGGCAAGGAUGAUUUGGUACGUAUCAUGGAAGUAGAACCAAAAGAACACAAAAUUGCUUAAAUGUUGAGCAUGGGAAAGAGAAAAGCCAGAAGGUUAAAGAAAAGGUGAUGGGACAAAGGUUAUUAUCCACCAAUAUUCUCCUCAUCCCUGGAAUCCAAGAGCUUAACUUACCAAAAAAUAUAUUUAAGGGAGAAGCAAAUACCUCUCAACAUGAAUUACCCCAGAGACUUUAUAUUGGUUAAUGGGAGCAACGACAACUCUAACCAGAAAAGAAAUUAUCCUAGGUUUACUUCUUACAAGUAGGAAAUCCCAGUAAACACAACCUGUUGAAACUCAGCAAGGGAGUAAAUUGAUAAGAAACAAAUCUACAGGAGCUUGCAUUCCCAAUUUUCACUCUAAACAUACUGGAGCAUUAACAUUUAAGCCUUUAAAUGCUUACUUUCAUAGUUAACGUGGAAGAAUUUCAAGAAUCCUAAAGGCCAACAAUUCUGAAAAAA